rnacentral:rRNA from 1 species
UACGUAGGGUGCAAGCGUUGUCCGGAAUUAUUGGGCGUAAAGAGCUCGUAGGCGGUUUGUCGCGUCGGCUGUGAAAGCCCGGAGCUCAACUCCGGGUCUGCAGUCGAUACGGGGCAGACUUGAGUGUUGCAGGGGAGACUGGAAUUCCUGGUGUAGCGGUGAAAUGCGCAGAUAUCAGGAGGAACACCGAUGGCGAAGGCAGGUCUCUGGGCCAACUGACUGACGCUGAGAAGCGAAAGCAUGGGAGCGAACAGG